GACGAACGCUGGCGGCGUGCUUAACACAUGCCAGUCGAACGGAAAGGCCCCCUUGUGGGGUACUCGAGUGGCGAACGGGUGAGUAACACGUGAGUAACCUACCCUUGACUUUGGGAUAACUUCAGGAAACUGGGGCUAAUACCGGAUAGGAGCUCCUGCUGCAUGGUGGGGGUUGGAAAGUUUCGGCGGUUGGGGAUGGACUCGCGGCUUAUCAGCUUGUUGGUGGGGUAGUGGCUCACCAAGGCUUUGACGGGUAGCCGGCCUGAGAGGGUGACCGGCCACAUUGGGACUGAGAUACGGCCCAGACUCCUACGGGAGGCAGCAGUGGGGAAUAUUGCACAAUGGGCGGAAGCCUGAUGCAGCAACGCCGCGUGCGGGAUGACGGCCUUCGGGUUGUAAACCGCUUUCGCCUGUGACGAAGCGUGAGUGACGGUAAUGGGUAAAGAAGCACCGGCUAACUACGUA
rnacentral:rRNA from 1 species